CUUCGAAGACUGAGGGUCGAAGCUACCACGUGGAGCUUAGUGGGCUUGCAUUGCUGUUGUCAUCCAUUGGGGGCGAUCUGCACUGGGGCUCUGUUUCAUCUUCAGACGCCUAACUGUGGUGGCACCAUUCACUCAGAUGUACAAUCAGCGUCCAAGCAAAUGUCAGUGACUCGCUAUAAUCUGACAAUACAGCAACUACAUUCCAAAAGCACACUUGCUUGAAUUUUCCCAGGAGCAGAGUGCUGCAGCCACCAAUACACCACCUCUUUACACUGGUGCUUCUUACUUCAUGUUCUUGGAAGUUUAUUUAAUCACUUAUACACAAUUCUGGCAGGAUGGAAGAUCUUUGUGCAAGAUGUAUGUUUUUUC